rnacentral:lncRNA from 1 species
CCGAGGGGCUGCUCUCAUGGACACCAUCAGGUGCUGGGAAGCAGGAACCACCAGGACCUGGACAGAGUCCCCAGUGACCGGCCUGGCAGACAGAGGAGCCCUCAGCUACAGCAUCACAAACAACGGGUGGGGAUACCACAUGGAGCAUUUUGAGGAGUGCUGGCCAGGUAUUUUGUAGAAUGUUCCUCAACUGGGAUUUGGCAGAUGCUUCUCAUCCUUAGUCUUGGCUUGUGUGUGUUUUGAGGAGGAGGACCACAGAGCUUAAGAAUCAUUCUCAGCACUCUGUAUCAGGCACGCAUUCUCUCAAGAUGACUUGCCGCUAUUGAAGUUGACUUUGAUCACCUGGCUGAGGAGGAUCAGAGGACUUCUGUCCUGAGAUUGCCAGAAAAAUGAUGAACAGAAAAUUAUACACAACCGAACAGGCCCAACUUUCAAAUGGACUGAGAAUGACCCACACAAGUUCCACCGAGGCCAAGGGUGACCUGCAGCCAGCGACAGGGAAAGACUGCCACUUACUGGCGGCCUCCGGAACUGGAAGGAGUGUACUGACAAUUGUAUCUUUCGCAAGCUCUUAACCUUUAUACCGUCAAUAAAAACCCCAUUAACAUUUAAAAGGGAUGUUUCUGGGUGUCCACUUGGAAUAAGAGUUGGAAAACACUCCAAGAAAUGGAUUCUGUAUUAAUAUCACAUCUGUCCCAGAUCUCCAACACUGUUCACUUUCCUUCCACGGUGCCAACACCAAGCUAGCUGAUAGGUGGGAACAGGGCAGCUCUGCGGUUGGCCCCCAAGAGCCAGGGAGUCCCCCAAGCUGACCCCCUGGGGUGGCAGUGGCACCUAACAAGAACUUCCACCUUGUUUUCCCUCUCUCCGUUUUGUCCUUUUGGACUCUGCUCACGCAUCACAUCCAGAAAGUUCCCUAAGCUCUCCAGUGGGAUGAGAACUCUGCUCUGUGCUCCUG